rnacentral:lncRNA from 1 species
AGGAAGGAGUGGACCUGGGAUGAAGGGAAAAUGGUCGUCAUGCAUGACCCCGUAUACAGGUGAGCCACUGCAAAUGGUUUGUCUCUUUCCUUCGUUGCCCCACUGACACACACACCCCCACCCCAAAAGUUAGGAGGGUGGAUCUUAAAUCUGAAUUGAGACUCUGCUGAUUUGGGCUUUCCUGCCCAGAAAGGGGGGGGGGCUUUUCAAAGAGCCACCCAGGAAGUUGGCAAGAUGGAUGCCACACACCAGAGAGGGACCUGUCGUUUAUUUGGGGACGAUGGGUGGGCUCGAUCCUUCGCCUGCCUUCACGAGGGGGGAGGGCGAGGAGAGGAAAGCAUCCGUGUGCCAAAAUGCGAUGUAAACACUGCUCCCUUCCCUCCCUGGGUGCAGCGCGCAGCAGGCGGUGGUUGUAAUCCCACAAAAGCUCCUAAUGUGGACCAGGUGAUUUGGUCCCCUAAGCUGGUGUAAUGGCAUCGUCUUCCUCGGAGCGGCGCGGCGCCUCCCGGGGAGACCAAGGCAUGGGGUGGGUUUGCAAGCGUGUACAGCUGCGAAGGGACCGUGCUUUUUACACCUUUGCAUGCAUCUCUUUCUCUCUCCCACCCUGCCUCUUAGGAUCUUCUACGUUUCGCACGACUCCCAAGACUUGAAGAUUUUCAGCUACAUCGCCAGGGACGGCACCAACAAUUCCUUCCGGUGCAACGUCUUUAAGUCCAAAAAGAAGGUGAGAAAGAGAGGUUGAGCUACGCCGGUCCCCCCUUCUCCUCUCCCUUCUCUUCCCUCCCUCCUGUUCUGGCCCUUAAGAAGAGAGGAAGGCCCUCUCAACCGGAUCAGGACCUCGAUCCGCCCGGCAGGAGUGUUUUCCCUGCAUGGGACAUCUCCAGCCUGGCCCCCUCAACCCUACUCAGAUUUGGAAUUCACAAGAGGCUUUUGGAGGGUGGUACGUAGUGGCAGCUCAUGCCAAAGCUGCAGUUCCCCCCCCCCACAGACUCAGGCCAUGCGCGUCGUGCGGACGGUGGGCCAGGCGUUUGAGGUGUGCCACAAGCUGAGUCUCCAGCACGCCCUCCAGAACGCGGACGGGCAAGCCGACGGGGCCAGCAAUAACUCGGCCGAGGACCCCCCGCUGGAAGGUUUCCCGAUAGCCGGGCCCACCAUGGCUGAUGGGGAAAGCGCCCCCGUCGCUUCCAUCGAGGGGACGUGCACAUGCGGGACCGGCGGAGGGGCCCCUGACCUGCCUUUGGCCUUGGCCGACUUGGGGCCCCCAACGUCUGCUCUGAAACUAAAGGACAGGAGCGGCCAGGUAAGAAGAGCUGGCCCCGGUAGGCAGCCCCAUCCUUCGUACCUUCUAGCAGCCCCCCCCUGCAAUCUCUUCCUCCCGCCGAGGAGCCUGGAGAGAAGGAGGAGUUCAUGAUUUUAUCGGCAUGACUUCAUGGGUUCAUCUCUCCAGUUGUCUAGAUCUGUGCGAUGUGGCCGGGAGUAGAGGGUAAGGGAAACUCCACCACCUGUUCCUCUGUGGCUGCUUUUUUCUUUUGGUUCGUAGGACAACGAGAACGGCGCCCUCCGCCCCGCGACGGCACAGCCCCUGGGUAGCCCUGCCAGCCCCUGCUCCUCGGCCUCGGUCGCCCCGCUGGCCUCUCAGCACUGCCUCCAGCUGCUCCAGCAUCAGCUCCUCCAGCAGCAGCAGCAGACGCAGGUGGCCGUAGCCCAGGUAACAUCCACCCCCCUACACACACACACACACACACAAGGGCAAGCAAAGGGGUUGCAAAGCCACAAAGGGACUACGGCGACCAUUCCUCUGAAUCAUCCGGGGGAGUCACGCCCCCCACCCCAAUCUGUUCCACUUGUUGCAGGACUACAGUCCCCAUCAUCCCUUACUCCUAGCCGUCUUGGCGGCUGGAGCCCAGCCGCUUCAGAGGACCCUAUGUUUUCCACCUCUGUCCUGAAUAAAAAUCCGUGGCUUAUACUAAGCA